rnacentral:rRNA from 1 species
CAGCAGCCGCGGGAAUACGUAGGUGGCAAGCGUUGUCCGGAAUUAUUGGGCGUAAAGGGCUCGCAGGCGGUUUCUUAAGUCUGAUGUGAAAGCCCCCGGCUCAACCGGGGAGGGUCAUUGGAAACUGGGAAACUUGAGUGCGGAAGAGGAGAGUGGAAUUCCACGUGUAGCGGUGAAAUGCGUAGAGAUGUGGAGGAACACCAGUGGCGAAGGCGACUCUCUGGUCUGUAACUGACGCUGAGGAGCGAAAGCGUGGGGAGCGAACAGGAUUAGAUACCCCAGUAGUCCCUGUCUCUUAUAC